CCCGAGGGCAGUGGAGAGAGCUUGCUCCGUAGCGGUUUCCUUCAGAGCAGGUGGUGACUGCUCCUUGGGGAGCAAGGAGGAGGCCCAGGCCGCGCGGCCAUGCUCGGGCGCGCAUCACCCGAAGGUGAGGCAUUUGGCCCCAACGGGCCUUCGAAAAGCCCGGCUGAGCGAGAAGUUAUCUUACAGCUUGAUCCGCUGCACCUGCUCGAGGGAGCGAGCGCCCCACCCUUCCCGCCGUGUGGGGCGAGACCCAGCGCCCGGUAACGCGUGGUCGGGCCGAGCAAAUGUUUGAUGAAUGAAUGAAUGAAUGCCUCCCUCCCUCCCUCGCGGAGCUCAGAGGAGUUUUACGGAAGUGCAAGCGCUUUGUAAACUGCGUAGCAUUGUAAAGAUGAGAGUUGUAACACAUCCCUCUCCCCCCCCCCGUCCCCCUCCCCGCAAGGAAAUAGGGGUGCGGCUUGAGUGAGGAGUCACACAACUUGAGUCUUUAGUGAAAAAGGAGGCGAAUUGCUGGGACGAGGGAAGGGAGCCAUCCUCCCGGAGAGUGUGGAAGGAUUUUUGACUUUUUCAGGAGGAGAAUUUAGCAGUGCCUCCCUUUCAGGAAUCAUUCUUGCUUGUGGUUUGGAGCUUUGGAGAGCUGGUAUUCGUUGUUAAUCAGUGUCCAUUACCGUCAUCAAGAAAUUUUGGCCUGUGUUUCAGGUCUGACUCAAAGGCUAUUUCCUUUCUAAAAUAUCAUUACCAUUUAGGCAGGUCUUCCUACGGGUGUUAUCCUGGAAAGUAAAUCAAAGUAAAAAACUCAUGAGGUUGAAAGGGUGGUUCUCUAGGACAAGAAAUUUUAAGAUAAAAGGAUUUCAGAAUCCUCAGAAAUCUGUCUUGAACCUGUCCUGGUGAAUAGUGUGAGAACGAGAUAAAAGCAGCAGUGAUGAAAGGAAGCAGAUUCCACAGUUGGGUCUCCGGACUCUGGCACUCCUUGCCUCGUCUGGAAGCAGCAGUAGUGGCUGUUACAGGUCUUUCCACCUCAGGGGGUGAGGCGCAAGUGUUUAUAGGCAGAUCUGGGGAGCUCAGAGUUCCUGACACUCCUGCCACCACCAUAUGCAAAGAGGCCAAGGAAACUUGUAACUGGGUAAAAUCCAAGGGCUCAUUUUUAUUAAAAUGCUGCAGUAAAAGUGAUGGGAGGCGGGAGAUGGAUAUUGCCAAAGCAAGAAGAGACUCACAAAGUAGCGUCUGCACAGCUGCCCUUCAUCCAAAGUUCUAAGAACCAGGUUAACUCUCCUACUUUUCAGCUACCCUGGAUUUGACUCUCUUCUCGUGACCAGUCCUUGCCAGGUCCUUCCAAAUAAGACUCACAGGAAAUCAAACCAGCAAGUGAUGGCCCCACAUGGCUACAAAGUAAAUCUUUUUGGAUUUUGCUCCUCUUCCUAAUUUUUUGAUGAAAAUGGCAAGAAUAAAAUAUACAGAAUGAGGGGAUUUUGUAAAGCCAAGCACCUCUGAGAGCUUUGGAUGAAAAGAAUGCAAACAUCAGAGCUCUGCAACCCAGCAGAGGACGCCUCCAGAAAAGUGUGUAACCACAUGGAGCUUUUCAGCAGCCUGAUCUGUUUUCGUUGUCAGUGGCUCCACCAGAGAACUUUGGUGCUGAGAGGCAGAAUGGCACUCAGCCACCUACUGAUGAAGUUACAGCUGCACUAGCUUACUAGGCAAGAUCCACCCACUUCACCCAGUAUGGUAACUGGAGGAAACAGCUGGAACUGGUGACGGCAGAGAAGGAAGUUCAUACAUUUCCAACUUGGUCUGCAUCUCUUUAGUUCUUUUACUUCUUAUUAAUCCAGAGGAGAAAACAGCUGGUUCAUUCGCAAUUCCAAAAAAAAUUCGAAGUUUUAGGUAACAGCGUUCUUUGCCUGGUACAUCGGUUUGUGUGAUAAAGAUCUGCAUACUAUGUUAAAAUAUAACAAUGGGAUAUUUGUAUAAGGCUCUUCUCUGCUACACUUGAAAGUGAGCUCGUCUGAGAAACUAUUUUAUCAGUUUUAUUAUCCCACAUCAGUAGCUUUUGCUGUCAAAGAUUUCAUAAGCUAAAUUUUCUAGCAAAAUUUCUUUCUAGAAAUUCCAUCUACAAUAUUCAGUUACUUUUAGCGGUUUUACUGUGACAUAUGCAUUAAAAUGCAUAAAUCAGUUAUUCAGUUGUAAUGAGUAAUUGUAAAAGAAACCUCCAUGUAACGAACCAGGUGAAGAACUGGAACACUGCCAGCACCCCAGAAGUCCCCCAGUGACCUUCCUGAACACAACUCUUUCCCUCCCUUUUAGAGGUAACCAUUAUUCUAACUUUUGUGAUAACCAUUUCCUUGCUUUUCUCUAUUGUUUUAUCACAAGUAUGCAUGCAUCCCUAAACAGUAUAUUGUUUGGUUUUGCCCUUUCUUGGAACAAAAUAAUAUGUAACCUGUUGUGCUUACGGCUUCGCUCAACAUCAUUUUUAAUCCGUAUGUUGUUCCUAUAACUGUAAUUUAUUCAUUUUAAUUGUUGCAUAUUACAGUGUUCUGUUGUAGCAAUAUGCCGUCAUUUAUUAGGCAUUCUAUUGUUGAUGGAUAUCUAGGUUGUUCCAGUUUGGAACUGUUAUAAAUGCUGCUGUAAAUAUUCCUCAUGUAUGUAUUCCAUCACGUCUAUGUGAGUUUCUGUAUGGUGUAUACCUGGGAGGGGUUAUGUGUAUUAUAAAUGUGAACGAAUCAUGCCGCGCUGUUUUCUAAAGUGUUACACUCACGCCCACUGUGUAUGAGCCUCAUGGCUCCACACCCUCAACCACAUUUGGUGUAGUCAGUCCUUUUCAGCUUUGCCAGCUUGGUGGGGGUGUAUACUUAUCAUUGUGGUUUUAACUUGCACUUCCCUGAUUGCUGAUGCUAUUGAGGACGUUUUCAUAGAUCAACUAGACAUUUGUAUUUCUUAUUUUGUGAAAUGUGUUAUCGUUUUCAUGCCUAAUCACCGAGAUACCCGAUUUUCCAAUAUCCUUUUAUAGUCCACUUUUGAAUAAUAUAGUUCAGGUAAGGUAAUACUACCAAAUGAGUUACAUUUGGGACAAGUUCUUUCCAAAAUAAGGAUAAUUAUAGUUUACCUAAUUAUCUCUUAUGAAUUUGAUGAUAAACUUCUUAAAAGUAGGACUAUAAGGCUAUAUAUAUAUAUAUAUAUAUAUAUAUUUUUUUUUUUUUUUUUUUUUUUUUUUGCGGUAUGCGGGCCUCUCACUGUUGUGGCCUCUCCCGUUGCGGAGCACAGGCUCCAGACGCGCAGGCUCAGCGGCCAUGGCUCACGGGCCCAGCCGCUCCACGGCACGUGGGCUCCUCCCGGACCGGGGCACAAACCUGUGUACCCUGCAUCAGCAGGCGGACUCUCAACCACUGCGCCACCAGGGAAGCCCUAUAAGGCUAUAUUUUUUACAUUCCAAAAUAAUGCCAUGCUUUCGGCUACUAAAUUGUUGCUGGAAUCCAUCAUGGUGGUUUCCGGUUUUGUUGUGACUUAGUUUCCCUCAAGUAUGUAAAGCCAGAUGUUUAUUCUCUUGAAUCUGUGUAACUAAAGUCUAUUCUUUGUUGCUUUGUAUUUUAUAGGCAACUGUGUAACAAAUUGUUUCACCAGCACAAAUUUUUUUUCGUUUCCAAUGUUCAUUCAUUUUAUAAAAAUCACAAUGGCUUUUUCUUUCCUCCUAAAGUUCCUGCUAAAAUACAUACUUUGUUUGUUUUUUCAUUUUACUCAUUAAUAUCAAAUACAUACUAUCCAUGUCACUCCCUGGCAAAUUUUCCCAGCAUAUUCUACUUGACUGUUUUAUCAUUUUCUUUUCUGUCACUUCUUCGUUUAGAGUCAGUGAUAUUAUAAGGCUGGAGGAAGACCCAGAGAAAUUAAAUGACUUACCCAGGGUCAGAAGAGCAAGUAAAAAGGAAGCCUGGACUCGGCCCCAAGUCUUCAAAAUAGAGUAUGCUCGCUAUUAUAUCACAGUGGCCCUCAGGCUCGCUAUUAUAUCACAGUGGCACUCAGGCUCCUGGAGCAGUAAGGCUACCACAACCUCUGCUUAACUCGACCAGAAUCUGCAUCUGAUUUUCGUUACCAAAACCCUUUCACUAGGAGUCCUGUGCACCAGAACCCACCACCACUGCAGCCUGCCACCACAGUAUGUACUUAGCUGAUUCCAAAGGAAGGAAAAGACACACUUGACAAGAACCUAGAAUGUGCAGUUAUUUAAUCUUCACAAAACCUUGCAAAGUAGGUGCAAGAUGCCCAUGUUCCUUUUUCCUCUUCCCUGGCCACAAAGGAAGACUGUGUUUCCCAGCCUCCCUUGCAGUUAGGCUGGAGUCCAGUGAUUAGUCUGUCCAGCAGAAUGUGGGCAGGAGUAAUGUGUGUCAUGCCCAGGCUUGAUCCCUAAAGUUUCCCAUGAGAUAAUCAGCUCCUCUGUCUACAGGCUUAGAAGCAAAGGAUGUGCAGAUAUUGGAUCACAUGCUAGAAGGAGUCCAGAUUCCUUAGUUGCUGCUUAGAGAAGUGCUAUCUGACUUAAAUCAAACAGUUAACAGAGCAAAACAUAUAAAGUUAUGUUAAGUUGCUGAGUUUAAUAACAAGCCUGCAUUUAAAACAUAAAGAAUGUUAGUAUUCUAAUCUAGUGAGGUUAAGUGAUAUAAGUAAGCUUUUGUGACCUGACGAGAAAAUGCAACCCCCUUUUGUUAUAUUUUUAUAGAAAUAUGAGUUCUGAGUUCCAAUUCAAGCUAUAAAAGGACAUUUAGGGAAAAGAAAACAACAAUCCUAGGUACUGACUCUUCUGUGAAAGAAUCACAUGGUGUAACAUCAGCACCCUCCAGAUAUUUGUUGAAGGCUUCCUUGUCAACCAAUAGGCUUCCAAUUCGAGGAUAAUAUAUCCUUAGGUUCUCCAGCCUGUCGUUGCAGGAUUGACAUUUCUUUCAAUAACCAAACAAAAUGUUAUGACCUACCAUCUUAUAUGUUAUGAAAAGUUCAGAGCCAGCUCUCUCCACUAUGGCUGGUGUCCUCAAAUUAUUUCAGUGCCUUGCCCCUCACUGGACACGAGUGUUUCAUUUCAUCAACAUAAGACUGUUCUAUGUAGCAGACUUUUAGGCUGAGGGGUAACAAAUGGUUAUUAUAGUAUAAGAACCAACUUACAGCACAGGAAACAAUUUCAAAAUUGAUGUCAGAUAUAACUUUUCCUAAAACUGUUAGUCAGUUGCAACCUUAGGGAAUUUCUCACUGAUUAUGUCUUUCCUUAGGUCUCUUCCAGUCACCCUGGAUUUGCUACUCUAACUCCACAUCCCCCUCACAUCUCUCCAGAACAGUCUCUUUAAAUACAAGAUUCCUUUUACUUUAUUACAAGCAAUUCAACUGUCUUGGGUCUCCACCUUUGAUUAAAAAAGCCCAUCAAACUCGUUGUUAAUAAUUUAUACAGAUGCAAAUAACAGAAAACCCAACUGGCAUAAACAUGUAGAGAGUUUGCUGUUUCUCUUAAUAAAAAAUCCACUGGUAGGGAGUUCAAGAUUGACACAGCAGUUCAGUAAUGCCAUCAAGUACCCAGGCUGCUUUUCUUUCCUUGCCGUCCUCAUUGCCAUCAAUGUCAUGUUGACUUUUAUCAUCAAGCCUGUUGUUUAAUGAGUCACAAACAGGCUGCUGUUCCUCAGGAGCUACAGCCAAAUUGCAGACUGGAAGGAAGGAGAACGGGUGGUGCCUGUAUGAGGGAAAGCCGAUUCUUCUCCCAGCAUUUCCAGCACACUUCCGUUUAGGUCUAAUUGAUAGAGUGGUACCUUGGGGCACACCUAGAUCUAAAGAAGGCUGAGUAGUAUUUUAGCUGGGCAUUGUUGCCCAACAAGAGGUUGGAUUUCUGUAACUAAGGAAAGCGGGAAGAAUAGACAAGGAGUAGGAAAUUAGGAGUGUCUGACACACUUUGUCUUAGUCUGUUCUGACUGCUAUAAAAAAUUACCAUAGACUAGGUGGCUUAUAAGUAACAGAAAUUUAUUCCCCGCAGUUCUGCAGGCUGGAAGUCUGAGAGCAGGGUGCCAGCAUGCUGGGGAGAGGACCUUCUUCCAGGUUGCAGACUGCUGACUUCUUGCAUCCUCACAUGAUGGAGAGCAGAGGGCAGCAACCUCUCUCCUAACUCUUAAAAGGGCACUGAUCCCAUUCAUGAGGCUCCUCCUUCAUGAACUCAUCUAAUCCUAAUCACCUCCCAAAGGCCUCACCUCUUGGUACCAUCACAAUGGGGGAAGGAGAGGAGGGUGGCAGGGCAGAAUAGGAUUUCAACAUACGAACAUUCAGUCCAUAGCUCCCUUAAAGAUGUUUUUCAUAAAAAGACCAUCUACCCCAGAGAUGAAAUGCCAAGGUCUAAACCCCAGAAACAGCUACCAUGGUUUUUGUUUCAAAUGGCGAUUUCCCCAAUGCUUGGCAUACAAACAUCAGUAAUAUGUAGAAUUUUCUUUUUGGCUUCUUGUAGUUUAAAAAUUCCAGCAACAUACUUUCAGGAGCAUUUUUAAUAAAUGAAUUUGUGACUUCCA